UACGAAGGGGGCUAGCGUUGCUCGGAAUCACUGGGCGUAAAGCGCACGUAGGCGGCUUCUUAAGUCAGGGGUGAAAUCCUGGAGCUCAACUCCAGAACUGCCUUUGAUACUGAGGAGCUCGAGUCCGGGAGAGGUGAGUGGAACUCCGAGUGUAGAGGUGAAAUUCGUAGAUAUUCGGAAGAACACCAGUGGCGAAGGCGGCUCACUGGCCCGGUACUGACGCUGAGGUGCGAAAGCGUGGGGAGCGAACAGG
rnacentral:rRNA from 1 species